rnacentral:rRNA from 1 species
AUUGAACGCUGGCGGCAGGCCUAACACAUGCAAGUCGAACGGUAACAGGAAGACGCUUGCUUCUUUGCUGACGGGUGGCGGACGUGUGAGUAAUGUCUGGGAAACUGCCUGAUGGAGGGGGCAAACAACUGGAAACGGUAGCUAAUACCGAAUAACGUCUCAAGACCAAAGAGGGGGACCUUCGGGCCUCUUGCAAUCGGCUAUGCCCAGUUGGGAUUAGCUAGUAGGUGGGGUAACGGCUCACCUAGACGACGAUCUGUAGCUGGUCUGAGAGGAUGACCAGCCACACUGGAACUGAGACACGGUCCAGACUCCUACGGGAGGCAGCAGUGGGGAAUAUUGCACAAUGGGCGCAAGCCUGAUGCAGCCAUGCCGCGUGUAUGAAGAAGGCCUUCGGGUUGUAAAGUACUUUCAGCGGGGAGGAAGGGAGUAUAGCUAAUACCGUAGGUUAUUGACGGUACCCGAAGAAGAAGCACCGGCUAACUCCGUG